ensembl:lncRNA
GACAGAUUAAAGUCUCACGUGUUCAUUCCGUACAUGAGGCUGGAAACGUGGCCUUCAGGUCACUGGACUGUGGAUUGAGAACCGACGUGUUCCUCCUCGCUGCCAGCCGGCUUUAAUGAAAUCCUUCUUUCAGAGAGUUAGGGACUGAUGCAGGUCUGCUUCUUCUUGGUCUGAACUGAGGGUCUCCUGCAGGAUGGCGAGCUGGUGGACCUCUGAAGACGUUCUGGAUGGUCUGGACCAGGAGCAGAACUCCAUCGUGUCUCGAGUCAUUCAGGCUGUCGGGCUGUUUGGAGAUAUUCUGUCUUUAGAGGACACCAUGGAGCCGAUGCUGAGCCAGGAGGAAGGAAAAGGAGUUCAGGAAGCAGGUGUUGAAGGAGAAGAGGAGAAAGAAACAAGAACAGAAGAUGAAGAAAAACCAGACGAGAAGCGGACUGAAGGAGAAAAAGAAAGAAUUAAUGAGGAUGAAGAAGAGAAAGAAACAAAGAUACCUGAGAAUGACAAAGAGGGAGAAGAAAAAGGUGAAGAAACUGUAGGAACAGAGGUGAAAGAAGAAGAGGAGGUGGAAGGAAAAGACAAAGCAGCAACUACAGGAGGAGAAGAAGAUGAAAGGAUGGUCGAAGGCAAAGAGAAAGAGACAGAAAGACAAAGUGAAGAAGAAAAAGAGGUAAAUCAGAAAGACGAUGGAGCAGGAAAAGAGUUGCGAAGUGAGGAUGGAGGAGCAGAGAAAGAGAGGGAUGACGAAGAAGAAGGAGGAGACUAUGAGGAGGAAAAGGAUGAAAAGAAACAAGAAAAAGAAACAGAGGAAGAAGAAAGAAAUGAGGAGCUCAAGUCUUCUGAGGAAGAAAAAGAUGGAAAAGAAGAAUGUGAAGAGAAAGAUAAAGUGAUAGCAGAAGAAGAGGAGAAGAACAAAGAAGUAGAGGAAGAAAAAGAAGAAGAUGAAGAGAGAAAGCAGCCAGACAGGGAGGUGGAGGAAGAAGAGAUGGAAGAAAAGGAGGAGCUGAAGUCUCAUCAGGAUGAAGAUGAAGGAAAAGAAGAACAUGAGGAUGAGAGAGUAGAGAAAGAAGAAGAAAUAAAGAAGCAAGAUGGAGAGAGGGAGGAAGAAAAGGAGGAAAUUAAAGCAAUAGAGGAACUUAAGUCUGAUGAGCAAGAAGAUAAAUGUGAGGAGAGAGAAAAUGAGACAGAGGAAGAAGUAAACAAUGAGCUCACCUCUCAUGAGGAUAAAGAAGUAGGAAAAGAAGAACAUGAAAUGAAAGAAAAAGAGGAAGAUGAAGAAAUAAAGGAACAAGAUGGAGAGAAGGAGGAAGAAAUUAAAGGAAAAGAGGAACUUGAGUCUCAUGAGGAUGAAGAUGCAGAAAAAGAAAAACAUGAGAAAGAAGAGCUGAAAGAAUUUAAAAAGAAUAAGGAGCUUAAGACUGAUGAAGAAAAUAAUGAGAACGAAAAAGAGAGAGGAGAAGAACGAAAUGAACAUGACAGAGAGAGAGGAGAAGAAGAGGUGGAAGAAAUUAAAGGAAAAGAAGAAUGUGAAUUGAAAGAAAAAGAGACUGAGGAGGAAAUAAAGGAACAAGAUGGAGAGAAGGAAGAAGAAAAGGAUGAAGAAAUUGAAGGAAAAGAGGAACUUGAGUCUCAUGAGGAUGAAGAAGUAGAAAAAGAAGAAUGUGAGGAGAAAGAAAAAGUGACAGAACAAGAAGAAGUGGAAGAAUUUAAAGAGAAUGAGGAGCUUCAUGAGGAAAAGAAAGAGAGCAACAGAGCAGAGAAAGAAAAAGAGGAAGAAGAAGGAAGAAAUGAAGACAGAGAGACAGAAGAAGAGCUAGAUGGAACCAGAGGAAAAGAAGUGGAGACGCUGAAUGAAGCAAAGACAGAAAGAUGUGAAGAACAUCAAGAAUCAGAGAUGACAGAGGAACCAUCUGAGGAACCAGGAGACCAGUCAGACUCCCAGAGAUCUUCACCUCCACAUGACGCUGGAUUUGCCUCAACACAAGCAGACGAUGCCAAAAAGCCCAGCGAGGACAUUUAUCCCACAUGGCCGAGCAGCGACAAAGAGGACGAGGUGGCCUCUCUGAGCAGAUCUCCAGCCUGGACCCGUCUGAACGGAGCUUCAGAAGAUCAGCUUCAGACUUCGCUCUCUGCAGGUGGAUCAUCCUCCAGACUGCUCACAGAGCUGCAGGCUUCAGGUUGCAAGUCGGAGGAGAAAACUGAGACGCCAUCGAUGGAGGAGGAAAACCAAGAGUCUGGUCAAAGCCAGAUGUCAUCGAGCACAGAAAACCCAGAGAGGCCAGAGACAGAGGGAAAAGGAAAGAAAGACGAAGGAGGAGGAAACUCUCUAAAGAUGAAUGGAGAUGACAAGAAGAAAGGUCAGACGUCCAAGUACAAAACUGUGUCCUACAGGAGGAUCCGCAGAGGAAACACCCGGCAGAGGAUCGACGAGUUCGAGGCCAUGAUGAACUCAUGAUGGAGUCAUGAUGAAGUCAUGAUGGACUCAUGAUGGAGUCAUGAUGAAGUCAUGAUGGACUCAUGAUGGAGUCAUGAUGAAGUCAGGAGGAAGUCAUGAUGAAGAUGUCGAAGCACCGCUCUUAUAAGAGUUAUAAAAGAUAGAAAAAUAACAGAAAUUUUCUGAGUUCUAGGCUGGCCUACUCCACACAGGACAUUUAACGUUAUUCACACAAACACAAUGAAACUCAUUUGUAGUUAAUGUGAACUUCACAGUGUGGUAAUCACUCUUGUAUCAUAUUUAUGAUUUAAUUUAAUGACAUUAAAGAGCUCAAAGCAUCAAACAGAA